rnacentral:rRNA from 1 species
UACGUAGGGGUGCGAGCGUUGUCCGGAAUUAUUGGGCGUAAAGAGCUUGUAGGCGGUCUGUCGCGUCUGCUGUGAAAAUCCGGGGCUCAACCCCGGACUUGCAGUGGGUACGGGCAGACUAGAGUGUGGUAGGGGAGACUGGAAUUCCUGGUGUAGCGGUGAAAUGCGCAGAUAUCAGGAGGAACACCGAUGGCGAAGGCAGGUCUCUGGGCCACUACUGACGCUGAGAAGCGAAAGCAUGGGGAGCGAACAGG